AGUACGUGAAACCGUUUAGGGGUAAACCUGAGAAACCCGAAAGGUCGAAGGAAGAAAUUCAUUCGCGUUUCGUCGUCGACGUUAGACGUUCGCGAGACGGAGAGUGUUCGCGCACUUUCCGCUCCUUACGUUUUUUCGAAUCGAUAACGAACGCGUGCACUUUUCUUCUGGUAGGACGUCGCGAUCCGUUGGGCGUCGGUCUACGGCUCUCGGUGGAGCCCGUACGUACGAUUCGCGUCGUUACGUGCGGACCCGAGCGUCCCGGCUGACUCGCUCGACGGUAUAUGAACGGUUUAAGGCCGCUUUAACGAGCGUUCGACUCGUCGCAAGCGCGUCAGAUGAUUGUCGGCGAUCGGACCCGGUGCCGGUUCUGACCUCUGAUGACUGUUGGCGACGAAGUUCUCGGACAGACCUUAUCGCGCUUCGGCGCAAAACCGAUCUGCGACGCUAUAGCUUUGGGUACUUUCAGGACCCGUCUUGAAACACGGACCAAGGAGUCUAGCAUGUACGCGAGUCAUUGGGAACGAAUAAACCUAAAGGCGUAAUGAAAGUAAAGGUCUACCUCGCGUGGACUGAGGGAAGACGGGCGUUUUUUACCGUUAAAAGUAAAAACGUUCAGCACUCCCGGGGCGUCUCGUUCUCAUCGCGAGAAGAGGCGCACCAUAAGCGUACACGCUGGGACCCGAAAGAUGGUGAACUAUGCCUGGUCAGGACGAAGUCAGGGGAAACCCUGAUGGAGGUCCGUAGCGAUUCUGACGUGCAAAUCGAUCGUCGGAACUGGGUAUAGGGGCGAAAGACUAAUCGAACCAUCUAGUANCUGG
rnacentral:rRNA from 1 species